ACGUCUCCUGGUAGGAGGAAGUGCUGGGAGCUGGCGACUCAUCCAUCCCCAGAGGCUCCGCCAUACUUUCCGACGACCUCAGCGACCUUUCAUCGUCCUCGUCCUCCUCAUUCCUCGACUCCUCUUCUUCCUCCUCCUCAUCCUCCUCCUCCUCGUCAUCGUCCAUGUCCCUCCCUGCGCCCUCUCCCCCGCUGUCCAUGAUCUCCAAGCACACGUUGAUGAUGCACGGGAUCUCCAGCAUGCGAGCGGCGUUCAAGAUCUCCUUCACGUUGGACGCCGUCACCGUCAGCGUGGAGGUGUAGGCGAACUCCAGGAUGGCCGUGAGCGAAUCUGGGGCGACAAAGUCUAUUUCGUAGAUGGCGGUGUGGUGGUGGCGCCCGUCCUCCAGGCUCCCGGUGGCCACGGUGAAAAGCUUCUUGAAAUACUGGCUGCACGCCGCCAGCACCGAGCGGUGGGUGCGGUACUCUUGGUCGCACACGAUCAGGACGACGUCGCAGAGGAGGCCGUCACGCCGCUGCUCGUUGAGGCUGCACAGGACAUCGCUGCUGUGGUUUGGGAAGGGGAUCCCGAUCCGGUCUUCCUCCCUGUGGUGGACCAUCCUCUGGUCUCAGGUCUGAUCUUCUGUAGGACUCAUGACACACGAUGAACGUUGUCCAGUUGGCCUAAAAAACACACAAGAAGACGAAGGAGCCCACUUCCCCUCCUCUGCGGAGACAACACAGACCCGAGCGGACCGCAGCCCGUCCUCUUGGUGUUUUGAGAAGCUAAUGGGCUAACAGCCGCUCGCCCGGUCCAGGUGGGCGGAUCAAGGCGUGCUGCCUCUCUCGCAACGAUUAGAUCGCAUGAGCAGGCCAAGCGAGCCGAUCCCACACACUUGUGUCUCUGUAACCGCCAUGCAGCCUCUCACACGCAGCAAAGAAGAGGAAUGCGAUGACGACCCUAGAACUGGUAAUGGAACUUGCUGUGACCCAGCCAAAGCGUCACGACAAAAGUGUCAUGGCUGCUAAGUACAAUACGGCUAAGUCAACAGUAAGAAGAAGAAUCAUUCACUGUGUGUUCAUCACACAUCAUCAAAUGCCUGAGAAGCAGAGGCACAGCUUGAGGCGCUGACCUCGCUCCGAGACCCCCGAGGGGGACGCUGCCCAUUACUUCGCUUCCGGCCGUCUCGCAGUUAUCCCACCAUAGCAUCGUCAAUUGUGACAUCAUGGCCACUUCCGCUGGAUGACAACAUGACUGCAGGGUGACGCCAUGAACCGACAAGGGAGGAGAACACGGAGGAAGUUCACAAGGCAGUUCAAGAGGUAGAUAAAAAACACGUCAUCAGGGUUAGUAAGACAUCCGAAAAGUCGGUGGUUAUUAUUAGCAUAGCGAGCGCAGGAGGCGGUCAUGUGACGGUUCUUGUCCAGAAAAAGCUGACCGACGAAGGAAGUUUUGGUUUCGGUGCGGUGUGUUCAAUGCAUGCAGUAAUUACAAGUGCUAUUCCUGGCCCCCGUACGCGGCAUACAGUAAAUAUAUCACUGCACUGAAGCGUGUUUUCGCAGGAAUUUCGUUGGAUUUUCUACAAAAAUGCACUUUAAUUAGGAGAGUACUGGAGCUGUUUUCACUCAUGUAAGUUAUGCAAAUACUAGGUCCUGCAAACCGCGCUGACAUGAUGUAUUUGUGCCGAAAGGGAGCGUUUCGCAGCAUAGAAUAUUUAUUGUGUUUGUCCGGUGAUACUGGUAAAACAGUACAAAAUCAAACCUGGUUAAAGUUAAAAGUUAAAGUACCAAUGAUAGUCACACACACACUAGGUGUGACGAAAUUAUUCUCUGCAUUUGACCCAUCACCCUUGAUCACCCCCUGGGAGGUGAGGGGAGCAGUGGGCAGCAGCGGUGGCCACGCCCAGGAAUCAUUUUUGGUGAUUUAACCCCCAAUUUCAACCCUUGAUGCUGAGUGCCAAGCAGGGAGGUAAUGGCUCCCAUUUUUAUAGUCUUUGGUAUGACUCGGCCGGGGUUUGAACUCACAACCUACCGAUCUCAGGGCGGACACUCUAACCACUAGGCCACUGAGUGGUUACGGGUGUGGUGAAGCAGUCCUUCUUGAGAAUAUUGUUAACAUUGUCAGAAGUGGAAAAACAACACAUUUUCAUGGUUGCCUAAAUUGAUUUCAUCACAAAAUAUAGUAAAAAUUUUGCAUUUUAGCAAAGCACGGGGUGUUACCAUUGUUGGUCAGGACCCCAGGAUGCAGAGACACCAGGCGCAGGUUCAAAAA